CAUUGAAUGGCUGAAGUAUAAGCAUUGGUCUCUUAAACCAUAUUAUAGUAAAUUUUACUUUCAAUGA
rnacentral:tRNA from 1 species